rnacentral:tmRNA from 1 species
AAUGGUUUCGACGGGGGCAAGUUGCUCCUGGGAAGCGAGUCGAAGGGAUCCUGUACCUGCGUUAAAAAACUGGGAACUUAAAUAUAAUUGCAAACGAUAAUUUGCAUUAGCUGCCUAAUAGUUGCAGCUCGUCAGCCUAAGAGUCCCACGACUUAGGGUCUGGCGUCGACAGUGGGGAACCGAGCCUUACAAAGCUUUGAGUAAGGAACGGAAUUAAUGAAGCUACUAAAUCUAAGAGCCUGUUUAUCGGCGCUUAGAGGAGGGAAUGUAAAAGGAUAAACUGCACUCGGAGAUGCCCAGGGGUUGCUGCUUUCGGACAGGGGUUCGAUUCA